rnacentral:misc_RNA from 1 species
AUGAAUGUCGAGUCGGCCGACCAUGCUGGCGGAAACGCAUGUGCACAUCGGUCGCAAAACAUCCACACACCUGUGAAUCUAUGGCCUUUGGGUUGACGCCCGGGGGCAACCAUUUUUUACACACUCUGUUCGUAAAGGAAUGUGAUUGCGUAAUCGCAAAAGUAA